ACUCCUACGGGAGGCAGCAGUGGGGAAUAUUGGACAAUGGGGACCGGUAGCUCCAGCCAUGCCGCGCUGUGUGAAGAAGGCCUUUUGGUUGUAAAGCACUUUAAGCGAGGAGGAGGCUUACCUGGUUAAUACCCGGAUAAGUGGACGUUACUCGCAGAAUAAGCACCGGCUAACUCUGUGCCAGCAGCCGCGGUAAUACAGAGGGUGCAAGCGUUAAUCGGAUUUACUGGGCGUAAAGCGCGCGUAGGUGGCUAAUUAAGUCAAAUGUGAAAUCCCGC
rnacentral:rRNA from 1 species